CAGAAUAAAUAUAGCAUUCUAUCUUGCACUAUUGCAGCUAAUCUAUUGGCAAUAAAAUGCCUCCGUAGCUUUCCUUCUCCUUUAAUGGGAUCAUGUUCAAUCGCCAGUCACAGUUUGAGAAGAAACAAGAUCAAGAACAUAAAACCUGAAAUCACCAGUUAACUGAGGGAAAUAAAACACAUCCAGGCUAGCACUGACCACUUUGGGACAUCCAUCAAAGAGAAUAUUCUAUCUCCCAUUUCUCAUCAAUUAGCCUGAAUCUCUGACUUGCGCCUAACGAACGUGAUGUUGCUACAAUAAGACAAUGGAUAGCACCUUACGUUGUCAAUAGAAGGCUUGCCAGCUCUGUGAAGGACAAACACAUUGCCUUGCAUAUACUUCACACACAAGAGAAAACCGCCACAGCUACAGAUAUUGUUACCAUGGAGACCUCACUUGUGUACAGUUUUGCUUUUAAUAUUUCUGUUUGAACUGUUGCAAAGAGCCGUACCAUUCCCUUUUCCAUUUUAUUCGUUCCCCUUAAUAAAUGUUAAUGUCGUGACAAGGCAAGAGAUGAGUAUUACACUCCAGAUA